rnacentral:rRNA from 1 species
AACGAACGCUGGCGGCAGGCUUAACACAUGCAAGUCGAACGCCCCGCAAGGGGAGUGGCAGACGGGUGAGUAACGCGUGGGAAUCUACCCAUCCCUACGGAAUAACGCAUGGAAACGUGUGCUAAUACCGUAUACGCCCUACGGGGGAAAGAUUUAUCGGGGAUGGAUGAGCCCGCGUUGGAUUAGCUAGUUGGUGGGGUAAAGGCCUACCAAGGCGACGAUCCAUAGCUGGUCUGAGAGGAUGAUCAGCCACAUUGGGACUGAGACACGGCCCAAACUCCAACGGGGGGCAGGAGGGGGGAAAAUGGGAAAAGGGGCGCAAGCCUGAUCCAGCCAUGCCGGGGGAGUGAUGAAGGCCUUGGGGUUGAAAAGCUCUUUCACCGGAGAAGAUAAUGAGGGGAUCCGGAGAAAAAGCCCCGGCUAAUUUCGU